GGCGGCACCCUGAUCCUUAUAUUGGUAAGUAAUUUGAUGCUUGGACUGUGCUUUUGGUCUUUUUUCUUUUGCAUUCUGAUUCUUGGUUUUUUUGGAGAAUGAUAACCUAAUUUAAGGUGAUUUGCAAUUAUGUGUAGAUCAUUUGUCUAUAAAUUCUAAUUAUGUGUAGCAAAAGAUUGUUUUGGUAGUUGAGGAUUGCCUCUUAGAUCUUUUGUAUCAAGUUAAAAUGUGAAAAACCUAAGAAUUAAACAGGGAUGCCACAAGAUGAUGAUCGUUGAAUACCCAAAAUUUUAAGUUUAUUGUUAGAUUGCCUCUCAACUCAAUUUUUUUAGUGUCAUUUUUUUCCCUAUCUGAUGCAAGAUUCAAGAGCUUGUGCAAGCCUGUCUUUCUAGCCCACGUUUUUUUUAAAAUCCAUUCUUUGAGGAGAUGUUUUAUCCUCAUUUGGCUCUCACCUAGAAAGUUUAUUUUAUCUUUGGAGUGGUAUUGAAAUAAAAGAAUUCCUUGCUUGCUUUGGCCUAGAAGUCUAGACAAUUUUAACUUUAUUCAAGGAGAAGUAGAUAAUCUCUCUAUUUGUUGCCCUAUUGCAUGAGAGCUCAAUCAAUUGCGGCAUCUUUACUUUAUAGGGUUUCUCCUAAUUACCCUUUUAAGGGAAGCUCUAAUUUAUAACCCAAUUCUUUUCUAAUGAAAGGGUUUCCUGGGUUGUCUUCUCAGAAGCAAAAGCUGCGUAUCUUGUCUAUAUGGUCCUAAGCAAAUGCUGAACUAUUGAAGUCAUGAAGAUAUCCCAAAAAGAGCAAAAUAGGGGGGCAGAUAUAUGCUGGGUGUACUCCCUUGAACUUGUUACUCCUCUUUUGGAUGGUUUUCUAGGACUUAGUUGGAGUCUGGCCAGGUUGCUUUCCCAUUACCCUUUGCCAUUAUCAGGUUUUCAGGCAAGCAAGAAUCAGAUAAAUUGAAGAGGAAUACUCUGUAUCAGCUUUAAUGACUUUUCAAUUUUUGUCAACUUGGCAUGGGGUGUUGUUUUCUGAAAUGACAUUAAUUGACUUUAUUUGGCACUGGACCACCAGAAUAUUAAGGACAGAAUCACUGAUUACCCAAGUAUAUGUUUAUUUCCUUAUGCUUAUUGUUAAAAUUUGUUGCAAUGUUGCCAUAUUGCUCUCAGUAAGGGGCAUUGUCUGGUUAAAUUGUAAGAGCCUUUAUGAGGUUGUAGGUUUUAGGCCUCAAAUCACUUACUUCUUGCUGCAAAAUUUUGAAAAUUCCUGUUAGAAAAUUAACUAUGUAGCAAACACAUGCAUUAAGAUGCGCGCGCGAACACACAAACGCGCACACACACACACACACA
rnacentral:misc_RNA from 1 species